GUCUACGGCCAUGCCACCCUGAACAAGCCCAAUCCCAUCUGAUCUCGGAAGCUAAGCAGAGCUGGGCCUGGUUAGUACUUGGAUGGGAGACCACCUAGGAAGACCAGGUGCUGUAGGCG
rnacentral:rRNA from 1 species